rnacentral:rRNA from 1 species
AAAGACUGACGCUCAUGCACGAAAGCGUGGGGAUCAAACAGGAUUAGAUACCCUGGUAGUCCACGCUGUAAACGAUGAUCACUCGUUGUUGGCGAUAUACUGUCAGCGACUGAGCGAAAGCAUUAAGUGAUCCACCUGGGGAGUACGGCGGCAACGUUGAAACUCAAAGGAAUUGACGGGGGCCCGCACAAGCGGAGGAGCAUGUGGUUUAAUUCGAUGAUACGCGAGGAACCUUACCUGGGCUUAAAUGCAGGACGACGUUCCGCGAAAGCGGGAUUUCCUUCGGGACGUCUUGCAAGGUGCUGCAUGGUUGUCGUCAGCUCGUGCCGUGAGGUGUCGGGUUAAGUCCCAUAACGAGCGCAACCCUUAUCAUUAGUUGCCAUCAGGUCAUGCUGGGAACUCUAAUGAAACUGCCUACGCAAGUAGUGAGGAAGGUGGGGAUGACGUCAAAUCAGCACGGCCCUUAUGUCCAGGGCGACACACGUGCUACAAUGGCCAGUACAGAGGGUUGCAAA